rnacentral:rRNA from 1 species
UACGUAGGAGGCAAGCGUUGUCCGGAAUUACUGGGCGUAAAGCGCGUGUAGGUGGUGGGACAAGUCUGCUGUGAAAGCCCCCGGCUCAACCGGGGAGGGUCGUCGGGGACCGCACCGCUUGAGGGCGGUAGGGGCUGGUGGAAUGCCUGGUGUAGUGGUGAAAUGCGUAGAGAUCAGGCGGAACACCCGUGGCGAAGGCGGCCAGCUGGGCCGUCCCUGACGCUGAGGCGCGAAGGCGUGGGGAGCGAACGGG